UACGUAGGCAGCGAGCGUUGUUCGGAAUUACUGGGCGUAAAGAGUGUGUAGGCGGUGCUCCCAGUCUGUUGUGAAAUCUCCCGGCUUAACUGGGAGGGUGCAGCGGAAACUAGAGUGCUAGAGGGUGGGAGAGGUAAGCGGAAUUCCUGGUGUAGCGGUGAAAUGCGUAGAUAUCAGGUGGAACACCUGUGGUGUAGACAGCUUACUGGACCACUUCUGACGCUGAGACACGAAAGCGUGGGUAGCAAACAGG
rnacentral:rRNA from 1 species